UACAGAGGGGGCAAGCGUUGUUCGGAAUUACUGGGCGUAAAGGGCGCGUAGGCGGCCUUCUAAGUCGAACGUGAAAUCCCUGGGCUCAACCCAGGAACUGCGUCCGAUACUGGAAGGCUUGAAUCCGGGAGAGGGAUGCGGAGUUCCAGGUGUAGCGGUGAAAUGCGUAGAUAUCUGGAGGAACACCGGUGGCGAAGGCGGCAUCCUGGACCGGUAUUGACGCUGAGGUGCGAAAGCGUGGGGAGCAAACAGG
rnacentral:rRNA from 1 species